GACGAACGCUGGCGGCGUGCCUAAUACAUGCAAGUAGAACGCUGAAGGAGGAGCUUGCUCUUCUGGAUGAGUUGCGAACGGGUGAGUAACGCGUAGGUAACCUGCCUGGUAGCGGGGGAUAACUAUUGGAAACGAUAGCUAAUACCGCAUAAGAGUAGAUGUUGCAUGACAUUUGCUUAAAAGGCGCAAUUGCAUCACUACCAGAUGGACCUGCGUUGUAUUAGCUAGUUGGUGGGGUAACGGCUCACCAAGGCGACGAUACAUAGCCGACCUGGGAGGGUGAUCGGCCACACUGGGACUGAGACACGGCCCAGACUCCUACGGGAGGCAGCAGGAGGGAAUCUUCGGCAAUGGACGGAAGUCUGACCGAGCAACGCCGCGUGAGUGAAGAAGGUUUUCGGAUCGUAAAGCUCUGUUGUAAGAGAAGAACGAGUGUGAGAGUGGAAAGUUCACACUGUGACGGUAUCUUACCAGAAAGGGACGGCUAACUACGUG
rnacentral:rRNA from 1 species